rnacentral:rRNA from 1 species
ACCCAAUAGAUACCCCGGUAGUCCACGCCGUAAACGAUGAGAACUAGAUGUCGGGGGGAGUUAGCCCUCGGUGUCGUAGCUAAACGCGCUAAAGUUCUCCGCCUGGGGAGUACGGCCGCAAGGUUGAACUCAAAGGAAUUGACGGGACCCGCACAAGCGGUGGAGCAUGUGGUUUAAUUCGACGCAACGCGAAGAACCUUACCUGGUCUUGACAUCCUCGGAACCCUGCAGAGAUGCGGGGGUGCCUUCGGGAGCCGAGAGACAGGUGCUGCAUGGCUGUCGUCAGCUCGUGUCGUGAGAUGUUGGGUUAAGUCCCGCAACGAGCGCAACCCUUGUCCCUAGUUGCCAUCAUUCAGUUGGGAACUCUAGGGAGACCGCCGGUGACAAACCGGAGGAAGGUGGGGAUGACGUCAAGCCAUCAUGGCCCUUAUGACCAGGGCUACACACGUGCUACAAUGGCCGGUACAAAGGGCUGUCAACCCGCAAGGGGG